UACGAAGGGGCUAGCGUUGCUCGGAAUCACUGGGCGUAAAGGGUGCGUAGGCGGGUUUUAAGUCAGGGUGAAAUCCUGGAGCUCAACUCCAGAACUGCCUUUGAUACUGAAGAUCUCGAGUCCGGGAGAGGUGAGUGGAACUGGCGAGUGUAGAGGUGAAAUUCGUAGAUAUUGCAAGAACACCAGUGGCGAAGGCGGCUCACUGGCCCGGUACGUGACGCUGAGGCACGAAAGC
rnacentral:rRNA from 1 species